CCUCCAGUGCGGUCGGGCGCGGGGUGGGGUCCUCCUCGAUCCCGUGGUGCUCCGCGGCGCGGCCUCGCUCUCUUCCGGUCGUGAGUAGCCGGGGCGUAGAGGGCGGUCGUUGGCGGGCCCGGUGAGCAGCGGCUGGGCUGCGGCAGAAUGUUGGCUACCAGAGUAUUUAGCCUAAUUGGCAAGCGAGCAAUUUCCACUUCGGUGUGUGUACGGGCACACGGUUCAAGUUCAAGUUCCACCCCUUUUAAGAGAUUCCCCACUGUACCGGACUUUAACACUCUCCCCCUCCGACAAAACUCCCAGCCACUUACCUUGAACACGGUUUACGUUAUUGGGACAAUGGAAGGGAAGGAGCUUGGACUUCCUCGCCUGAACUGGGUUUAAUCUCAUUUCUACCUUGGACUAGUUACUCAAGUUUAGGAACGUGUUUUCUCACGGAAAUGUAUGUAAACAGCUUAGUGCAGUGCCUGGCACAUAGCAAGUUUAGUUUUGCAUUUAUCAAGCAUCUUUGUACUUGUCCCUGUUAGGCACUUAGAGUAAAAGAAUAUGAGAUAUGCAAUCAACCCCCAAGAAUGUGUGCAGUCUGGAGAGGGAAGAUACAUGAAGGCAGCGCUUCAGUAAGAGACGGACCCCGAGGAGAAACAUUUAGCCUGGCCUCUAGGGUACAGGGGAGGCUUCUGGAGGAGAGGGCUUGCUCUGCUGAAGGGCUAGUAGGUUUAACGUCACAUUCCAGAGGGGAGCGGCAUCCAGUCAGAGGGACAGCAAGCGGGAGGGGGAAGCGCCAGUCAGUGUGGCAGGUUGUGUUACUGAGGGGUCGAGGGCAAGGCUUGAGUGGUGGGUGAUAAAGAGAGCAAGGCUUAUGUAUCCAGGGGCUCCAAAGCUGCUGCCUGAGUUGCUUUGUGUAUGAAUUUUUCCUUGAAGUUGUGUCCUUUAAUUGGCAGUACUGUCGUCUUACAUUUCUCUAUAUUAU